CUUUUCCCCGCCUUGCAGGUCUCUCCACUCCUCAAUGGGCUGGCCGAGGUCCACUGUGUUCAUAGGCACCUUUACCUCUCCAAUGAUGUCAUGUUUGGAGAAGCGGUCAAAGUCAUAGAUGGCCAUCACCAGAGUUUUGCCCCCAAGCUCCUGGUAUGGCACCUGCAGGGCACAAGCAGAAUCAGAGGGGGCCAGAGCGACUCACGCACCUCCAGGGGUGCUAUGUGCAGGGGCCUGCAUUCCAGCCCACAGGGUCCAGCAGCAUUUCUUGCAGAUGCAGAAGCAGCAGGUGAGAAGCAGGAGCCCAGCAACCACAGCAAUGGCGAUCAGUGCCCAGGGUGGUACUGCCCACACAAAGAAGAUCCCAGGGUCAGCAGUGCCAUGCCUUGCAGCCCCUGACCCCGUAGCAUUGGGAAAAAUGGGUGAGGAAUAUGACUGCCAUCCCACAAUGCCCACACCCCACAUUUUAAAAGCCACACACCCAUGAGUGAUUUGUAUGUAAGGUGCAUAUACUUUGCAUGCCUUUUCAAUCACGCCUUGCUUUUUUUUUUUUUUUUUUUUUUUUUUGCCUACUGUCCUUGUUGGUAUAGCCUGCUAGCUGAGAGGUAGCAACCAGGUGUAUGCAUGGAAGAAUAUCAGUUUAGCUCUAUUGAGUUUUACUAGUGUGAUCUAUGGAGGACUGGCUCACUCUAGAGAGGAUGGGAUGAUGCUUAUCAGUCCUUUGGCCUCUGCCCCUUGUUCCAAGUCUUGAGAGGGCUGAUGCAUAGCCAGAUAGGCAGGCCAAGCUCCUUGAGUCUAGACCUAGACCGCUGCUGGGCUUUGCAAAACCCAACUGGGGAUGGGUCCUGGGCUGCUCUCUGUGGUUCUGAAGCACCAUCUCCCGCCAGUGUGGCUGCUCCCCCUUAAUCUGCAUCUCUGGUGUCUCCUAUACAGCCUCUGCCAGAAAUUCAAAAGCAGAGAGGGCUUUUAUUUUCUAUCUUCCAAAAUAAAUUUC
rnacentral:lncRNA from 1 species